GACGAACGCUGGCGGCGUGGAUUAGGCAUGCAAGUCGAACGGUAGGAUACCUUCGGGUAUCUGAGAGUGGCGAACGGGUGAGUAACACGUAGGUGAUCUACCCUCAAGAUUGGGACAACCCAGGGAAACUUGGGCUAAUACCGGAUGAAAGCAGCAGUGAUGUUGUUUGAAAGGUAGCGUAAGCUGCCGUUUGGGGAUGAGCCUGCGCUCUAUUAGUUAGUUGGCGGGGUAAAGGCCCACCAAGGCGAUGAUAGAUAGGCGGCCUUAACGGGUGGUCGCCCACACUGGGAUUGAGAUACGGCCCAGACUCCUACGGGAGGCAGCAGUCGAGAAUAGUCUACAAUGGCCGAAAGGCUGAUAGUGCGACGCCGCGUGAACGAAGAAGCCCUUCGGGUGUAAAGUUCUUUUAUAUGUGAGCAGUGCUUUCUAUGUGAACAGCAUGGGGAGAGAGAUAUUAGCAUAUGAAUAAGCAACGGCUAACUCCGUGCCAGC
rnacentral:rRNA from 1 species